rnacentral:rRNA from 1 species
AUUGAACGCUGGCGGCAGGCCUAACACAUGCAAGUCGAGCGAGCGGCGGACGGGUGAGUAAUGUCUGGGAAACUGCCUGAUGGAGGGGGAGAACUACUGGAAACGGUAGCUAAUACCGCAUACUAUCAGAUGUGCCCAGAUGGGAUUAGCUAGUAGGUGGGGUAACGGCUCACCUAGGCGACGAUCCCUAGCUGGGCUGAGAGGAUGACCAGCCACGCUGGAACUGAGACACGGGCCAGACUCAGACGGGAGGCGACAGUGGGGAAUAUUGCACAGGGGGAGCAAGCCUAAUGCAGACAUGCCGCGUGUAUGAAGAAGGCCUUCGGGUUGUAAAGUACUUUCAGCGGGGAGGCGUUACCCGCAGAAGAAGCACCGGCUAACUCCGUGCCAGCAGCCGCGGUAAUAC